UUUCAAAAGGACAGAGAAAGAAUUUAUAGUUUCCUAAAAAUCUCCAGCAAAGCUAAGGAGCAGACCUGGGAGCUGUCCUGCUGAAACAAUGCUCAAAAUCUCACCGAAGAACUGGAGGCAAUGCUGACACCUCAACUGCCCUCCCAGGCACAGCACCGCAGGCUGGCUGCACUGCUGAUGCUGAACAGUGGAGGCCAUGUCUGAUUUUCCCUGCAACAACCAUGAAAGGGACCACCGGCUGGCCCGCAGAUGAGACAUCCCUGUGGGGCAUCUGAGCCGUGCUGACCUCUGUCCUUGAUGGACAGAAGUGUGGCCCUGCUGUCCUUCCCCAUGCACCCUGGACCCAGUUCCCGACCCAACCCUCUCCUCGCCAAAGCUUUGAUGAGUCAGUUUUCAAUUCCUGGGUUGUGUGUGUGCCCGUUUUGGCUGAAGACUUUCCAUAGAAUGUCCAAUCUUUGUGCCUUUAUUUUCCUCCUGUGUCAUAAGGAGAGCAGCCUGCUGCUGCUCUGCUCCCUCGUUGCUUGCCUUAGUAACUUUCUUUUUCCUAAUGAGGCUUAAUUAUAAGU
ensembl:lncRNA